UGGGGAAUAUUGGACAAUGGGCGAAAGCCUGAUCCAGCCAUGCCGCGUGAGUGAUGAAGGCCUUAGGGUUGUAAAGCUCUUUUAGCAGGGAAGAUAAUGACGGUACCUGCAGAAAAAGCCCCGGCUAACUUCGUGCCAGCAGCCGCGGUAAUACGAAGGGGGCUAGCGUUGCUCGGAAUUACUGGGCGUAAAGCGCACGUAGGCGGACUCUUAAGUCGGUGGUGAAAUCCUGGAGCUCAACUCCAGAACUGCCUUCGAUACUGGGAGCCUUGAGUUCGGGAGAGGUGAGUGGAACUGCGAGUGUAGAGGUGAAAUUCGUAGAUAUUCGCAAGAACACCAGUGGCGAAGGCGGCUCACUGGCCCGGUACUGACGCUGAGAUGCGAAAGCGUGGGGAGCAAACA
rnacentral:rRNA from 1 species